GACGAACGCUGGCGGCGUGCUUAACACAUGCAAGUCGAACGGAAAGGCCCUGCUUUUGUGGGGUGCUCGAGUGGCGAACGGGUGAGUAACACGUGAGUAACCUGCCCUUGACUUUGGGAUAACUUCAGGAAACUGGGGCUAAUACCGGAUAGGAGCUCCUGCUGCAUGGUGGGGGUUGGAAAGUUUCGGCGGUUGGGGAUGGACUCGCGGCUUAUCAGCUUGUUGGUGGGGUAGUGGCUUACCAAGGCUUUGACGGGUAGCCGGCCUGAGAGGGUGACCGGCCACAUUGGGACUGCGGUACGGCCCAGACUCCUACGGGAGGCAGCAGUGGGGAAUAUUGCACAAUGGGCGGAAGCCUGAUGCAGUAACGCCGCGUGCGGGAAGACGGCCUUCGGGUUGUAAACCGCUUUCGCCUGUGACGAAGCGUGAGUGACGGUAAUGGGUAAAGAAGCACCGGCUAACUACAUG
rnacentral:rRNA from 1 species